GAUCGAGUCGAUUCCAUGAUUAUAAGUUCAUUCCAUACCGGGCCAGACCGGAAUAGGGCUAGGUUAUAUACAUUCUAAUUAUGAGAAGGGGUCAUCCGAGCGCGUACGGACCUGUUUUUUACAUAUCUCUCGUUAUUUGGGACCCUAUUCAUCUCUUUGGGCUUCUAUUGAAUCGAGAAAUAGGUUUGAUUGUC